AUUUGUUUUUGUUUUGUUUUUGAAUGUCAGAAAUGUAUAUUUGUGAAUGUGGAGAUGUUAUAUUGGUUUCACUGGUAAAAAUAAAUAAUUGAAAUGGGUAUAUAUUUGUUUUUUGUUAAGUUGCCUAAUAAUUAUGCACAGUAAUAGUCACCUGCACACACAGAUAUCCCCCUAAAAUAGCUAAAACUAAAAACAAACUAAAAACUACUUCCAAAAACAUUCAGCUUUGAUAUUAAUGAGUUUUUUGGGUUCAUUGAGAACAUGGUUGUUGUUCAAUAAUAAAAUUAUUCCUCAAAAAUACAACUUGCCUAAUAAUUCUGCACUCCCUGUAAGUUAGUCUGGAGAUAUCAGCUGUGACUGAACUCUGUCUGCAGUCACUCCAUCCACCUCUCUGUCUUCAGAUCCUCAGGAGGUCGCUUACGGUCAGGUUGUCAUCAAAAGCAAGAAAAAAGCUGGCAAGAGAACAGAACAGUCACCUGAUCCAUAUGCUGUGUACUCAUCAGUGAGAGCAGGAAGCUGAGAACACACUCGGUCUGAUGGACGACCUUCAUCCUUCACUCUGC